UCAUCUGUAGCCUUUUCUGAAUUGCUGUUUCAAAUUAAAAAUGGGAAAAUUACCAAGACAAAGUAUCACAUUUAGCAUAUUUAAUUAGUAGAGAGAAAGAUAGUUUGUAGAAUGCUUAUGACUCAUGUCAUAGUCCGCAAUUGGUGGGUAGAAAAUGUAGAAAACUGAGUAAUACCAUUAUUUUGUGUAUUGGGCCGUCUUUCAUCAUGGAAACUUCUAUUUUCAAUUUUCUUUUCCACUUAUAAUUUGUGUUUAUCAUUGGAAAACAGUGUUCAUUUCGAUUCUAUUAUCUACUACAUUCUAUCAUUCAAUUCACGUUGUGUGUGGUAUUAGAUCGACAAAAUGGGAAGAAAUGUUAUAAGAAUAUGAUUUAGAAAUGUAAAUGCUUGAAAAAUAAUAACAGGAGGUUGUUAUGUUAGUGAAGUCAACGGUGAUGAAGUGCAGUCACAGACAGAGGUGCUGCUGCUGCUGUGAUGUGAUACAAGACAUAUGCGCAUGAGUUUUCCAAUUG
rnacentral:misc_RNA from 1 species